rnacentral:lncRNA from 1 species
CCUGCAAGCAAUCGAGAACAAGCAAGAACAAGAUAUAAAGCAACUGAAUUGCUAGAUAGACAAGACGCACAAAGAUGAAUUGAUACACGAUAAAGUAGGGUUCCGAACAAGCAGACGGACGGUCUAGCCGACACGCGCGCUGCAAGCGAAGUAGCAAUGGCUAAACUUACAAUUAAUCAAAACCCAAGAAACCCUGAAGGGGUACCUAACUAUUUAUAGAGGUGGGAGGAUGACCAAGAGGGUCCAAGGGUCGUGCUCCACCAGAUUGGGGCGCACCCCACAUGGGCCAGGGUCUCAAACAAAGUUACAAGCCCAUUGGCCCAAUAUAGGUGACGCAGCACCUUGCUUCUGUGAUUGCGGCCAAACGAGAUAGAAUUCCGAGAUGAGGCUGGAUCCGUUGGAAGGAGGACUUCGAGAGCUUUCCAUCAAGUACUCACGGGCCCAAAACGGAGCACGUAUGUAGAUUUGGCGGCCGUUUGAAGUUAGCAAUGUAGCACGUGGCCGAAUCAGAUUGCAGCACAUAGAGGACUUGAUCUUGAUGUCUUCUUGUUGAUUCAUGAUGUGAGCAAUGGUCGUAUCCAUAGUAGCCAUGGUCACAUCAUCCUCCCCUUCUUCAUGGAAAACCGUCCUCGGUUUUUCCAUAUGGUGCUCUUCGCUUGGUCCACUGAAAACAACCUGUUUCUUGCAAUCAAAACAAGACAAACUCGAGAUAAUAUGAUUAGCAUUAACAUGUCUCUCUAGCUUGCAUAUUUUAUCCAGAACUACAAGGUGUUCUAAAUCCGAACAAAUGUAAACUCUAUGCACCAAAAAUAUUCCUCUAUCAUUAUAUUCGCCAAAGAUAUGAAAAAUAGCAUUAGUUGGACAUGGCAAAUCAGAUUUAGCUAAUAAUUUCUCCUUCAAAUUAUCGAGCUCACAAAAAUCAUCAAACUGAACAUAGCCCAAAGUAUUUAAAGAAGAUAGUAAUUCACGUUCCUCUACUUCAUUAGCAAUGUGAACAACAUGCUUAGAAUCAGCACACAAAGAAAUAGUAGAACUAACAUGUUCAUUCACUAGUUGUGGCAUGGAUAUAAGUGAAACAUUAUGACACAACUCUUCUUUAUCACAAGGAACAACAAGUAAAUCAACUUGUGACAAAGGCAUCUCAGCAAUUGGUUCCACUAAUGGUUGCUCUACUAUAGCAUGAAAAGUGGACAAAUUCAAUUCAUUAACAACACACCCACCUUGAUUUAUUGCUGCACCAUUAAGAUUACUUGUGAUUCUCUCUUCGAAUGAUGUGGGUGCAUCAAUCUUCUCUUCUUCCUUCGUGAGCGAUGUAGAUGGCAUCUCGAUCAUAUUGCUCUUCUCCUCAUGGUGAAUGUUCUGAGCUCCCUGCAAAAUGUCACUAAUAGGAGGCACAAGCAUAGCUCGUUUCUCCCUUGGGCUCUUUAAAAUAUUGCUCUCAACACUGCAAGCAAGCAUGAACAAGUGGCUUAUAUGAUUAUAUGUUACGUUAAUAAGCCCAGCCUGAAUAUCAGAAUUAAGCCCUCUAAAAAAUCUAGUCAUUGUGUUCUCAUUUUCUUUUAAACCACUAUAAGUGAUACAAAUUUUAAAGUCAUGAAAGUACUCCCGCACGGUUUUAUCACCUUGUUUUAUAUGUUCUAAUUUCUCAAGGAGAGUACGCUUAUAAUAUGAAAACACAAUAUUUUUCCUCAUCAUUGUUUUGCAUUCAUCCCAAGUUUCAAGCUUAUUGCCAACAGUAUACCACCAAAAAGAUGCAGAACCGGUACACUUAUUACUAGCAGCCUUAAUCAUUUGAGCAUUAGAGAAAUCAUACUCAUCAAAUUGUUUGUCUACUGCUAGCUCCCAAUUAACAUAAGCGGCGGAAUCAUACUUACCAUCAAAAACUGGCAAAUUAGAUUCUACCUUUGCAAGAUCAUUAUCAUGUACCUCAUAUGCUAUGCGUGAAGAAGUCACUAUAUCUCGUUGAUGGUGAAGAAGUCGAUGUUGAGCAUGAUCAUCUCGUUUCCCCUUGCACAAUCCUGCCAUGGUUAGUAGCAAACAAGAACACACACAAGAAUAUGUACGCUCUUAUCAACUACUAGGUAGUGGCAGCUCAAAUAUCACACACACUCAAGCUUUUAACCAAGCUCUUACAAGUUCUUACCAAAGCAAGUGGAAUGGUGACAUACACCGACUCAACCAAGCACCCCACCGGAGUUUGGAUGUAUCGAUGCCUUGGCAAACACAUGCUGUACGGCUGUAAUCAAAUCUGUAGAGCUCUGGGUAGGCUUAAAUAUGUAGCAAAGGAAUAGAAAAUGCUCAAUCUAGAGAAUAAAAAGUUGAAUGAUCAUUCAAAGUCAAGUACCGUGCUUGUCCUAGGCUAGAAUGUACUAGAGACGCGAGCCUAGUACACAAACGAACGACAAGAUAGCACAACUCAAGCACAACUCUGAUACAUGAAAAUGGUCUAAAAAUACAACUGAUUUUCUUUUUUUUUAUUCUUUCUUUGUUUCUUUCUUUUUUUUCUUUUCUUUUUCUUUUUCUUUUUUUUGGUGCGGCUUUUUUUUUGCUUUUGUAUGCACCUUUCUGCCUUUUCUCACUUUUUUUUAUUUUUUUCUGCAAAAACGACUCAAGGACUUCAAUGCAAAAUUACAUGGACUCAAAUGUAAAUACUAAAAUUACAGGGACUUAAAUGCAAAAGUCCAAACCCAAAAUUAGAAUUAUACAAAAAUGGAAUGCUGAAUUUGUACUGGUUCUGUUUUUCCAAACGGAUCUCCAAUCCGACACUCUAAAAAUUUUCACUAAGCUAUGCGGGAAGACACGGUAUGGAUCUUAAACCGAUAGAAGAGAGGGAGGAGUCGGACUCAGAGGGAGGAAGGUCGCACGGAGAGGUGGAGCUGAAUAUUGCGGCCAGCACUAGUGUUUGGAUUCGAUGCACAAAAUAAAAGGAAACGGAUUUCCACCUAAUCCAAUCUUCUUUUUCUUUCCUAUUCUUUUCUUUCCUUUUUUUUCCUUCCACCCAACCGAAUCCAAACAGAUCUUCUAUAUUCCUUUCCCCUUCUUCUUCCUCAUGGGCAAAACAGAACCACGCCACAAACACUAAGCCCGGGUAAACAACAAACCCUUGAUGCAACACCAAAACCGACCGAUAAAAACUUCUGAAAACUACAAAAAUAGAACCGUGGCAGCAAGCCGAUUCCGUUUUCGUAGGUCCCGACGACAAUAGAGACACGGAGGCGAUGACGACUGUGGUAUAAAACGUGACCAAAACUCGAAACUCUAAACGAACUAGAUGCUAAGACCAGCAACACGACGAGACGAUGCAACACAAAAUUCAACAAAGCAAAAACUGAAUAGAACAAAGCAAUUGCACAAAGAUGGCUAGGUACAGGAUGCAAUUUUUUUUUGUGGCUAUUUUCUGAUAAUAGGUAGAUAAAAACUCACCGAGCAACGAAAGCUCUAAUACCACCUGAUGAACCCUGAGCUCCACUCGAGACACUCAAGGCUGUUGUUGGCCCGAUCUUUCGGUGAGUUGAUGAUAACUACGAUUUGGGAGAAACGUUGACGAUCCGACUACAACCGUACAAGACGUUGCGUUGCGCCUUAGCGAUCGAUACACCUCUCCGUGGGUUGUUGAUCUUGCCGGUGCAGAUCAACCUUAUUCCUGCAAGCAAUCGAGAACAAGCAAGAACAAGAUAUAAAGCAACUGAAUUGCUAGAUAGACAAGAUGCACAAAGAUGAAUUGAUACACGAUAAAGUGGGGUUCCGAACAAGCAGACGGACGGUUUAGCCGACACGCACGCUGCAAGCGAAGUAGCAAUGGCUAAACUUACAAUUAAUUAAAACCCAAGAAACCCUGAAGGGGUACCUACCUAUUUAUUGAGGUGGGAGGACGACCAAGAGGGUCCAAGGG